rnacentral:lncRNA from 11 species
CAUAAAAUCAUUUGGAUGUGAAGGAACUAAUGCCUCCAGGGACUCUCAUGAUUAAGCAGGAUGGGGAUGGUGGAAACUCAAGUCACACAUCAAUUGGAAAUUGACAGCUUCUUUACCCUGCCACAAAUUAUUUUAAGAAAGGCACACAAUUUUUGCUGAAUACAGUGGGAAAAGAUCCAGUGUAUAUUUCGGUGAAUAUGCUAAACUCUUUCGAUGUCUUACAACCCAAAUGAAUAACUGGCAGUGACUGAAGCAAUUAAGUGAUUUACAACAGUCAGCACUUUGAAUUCAGAUGUGGAGUUUCUUGAAAUGAUGAAUGCAUUUCCUUCCAGCAUUAAACACAUAUACACACACA